rnacentral:lncRNA from 1 species
GUGUGCGCAGCGGCUGGAGAGGAGAUAGUUUUCUAACCAAGGCCUCAAAGAACUCUAGACUACAAAAAAAGUUGAAAGCAUGGGGGACUCAGGCCACCCCGAACUCAUGAGCUCGAAUCCACCCUCCAGCUCCGGCGGGAGUCCGGAGCUCUCCUUCAGGCAACGAACCCACUCCGCUUAAGCAAUGUAGGGGCACCUCCCCCACCUUGUUCGUCCCCGCGGCGCCGAGGGCAUUUUCGCCGAAGAGCUUUAAGGGUCUCCUUCCUGCUUGGCUCGCUGCCGGCUACUGUCCCCAGCCGGAGCAGCUGGCCUGUGCUCCGGGGUCCCUUACUUCUCUUGGGCCUUGCUUCCUCCGGAACUUCUUACUACCCACUCCAUGGAGCCCGCUACUGUCCACAUAUUGACCGAACCCCUCCACUUUCAUCUGUGCUCGGGUCCCUGGCUGGUCCCCGCGUGUGUCUUCCUUCCACACGCAUCUGCGCAGCCUGGGUUCCGUGGAAGAGGAAGAAGCUGUGGAGGUCCCGGCACGGAGGCCUUGUCUGAAGUUUGGGGUGGCUUCUCUUGCCCCAGGCGGGUAGGAGCUGGCGGCAUGGAGGAUCAGGCAGGCCUUUCACGGUCAUGUCGGGGCUCAGACCGGACGCCAGGGGGCAGCAGCGGCCCUCGUUAGGCGUCCUGGGAAGCGGAGCAGGGCACUGGGCACGCCCCGACGGCGCGAGGAUCAGUCUCACCUGGAGGUCCUUAGGGUCGAUCUUGUGAGUUUGGGGACAGACAUUAGGAAGUGGCCACCAGAACCCACCUGAGCGCCCCCGUCUCUCAGACCGGUGGUAGCCGGUCCAGCUUGCAUGGGAAUCCCCCGGCUGGUGGGUCUCUACUGUCGUGAUCCACCCAAAUUAGGGUCUCAUCUCUUCUCAAAGCCUCUUUGCCUGGGCUCCGCCUUAUGCUAGUUCAGGACCAUGAGUUCCUCAGGUGUCCAGCGAUUGUCAGCGAAGGCUCAACUUCUCCAGCCUUCUGUAUUUUCCCGAGUGGGCCCGACUUUCCUCCUUCAGCACAAAGAUCGUGACAGCAGGGCAAAGCUCAGUGCUCCCCUGGCGUUUGGGGGGAUCCGGAGCUUUGGGAAGACAUUUUUUCCUCCUUGCUUUUCUUUUAAAACGAAUCUUAAAGAAGUCCCAAUUCAGGGGUCGAAUCCCGCUGCCUGCGCUCCCCUGCCAGGGCCACAGCUUCCAAGUGCAGCCAGGUUCUGGUGUGCCGUAUUUACUGGAGAGUUCAUGGCCAGUGGAAGCGAGACUCCCUCAAAUAGCUAGCUAGACUCCCCUCAAAUGCAUUUUUUGAGCAGCCGACUUCAGAUCUAGUGCUCCUGGAGCCACAGCCAAGCACAUCCACACAGACCAACCGAGACAGGGCAUCAUCAGAACAGUGUGGCAGAGACAACGCUCGACCUUGACUCCAGGGGAAAGGGUGUCUCUCCGGCCCUUCAAAAGAUUAAAGGAAUCGCGUUGGGGUCAAACCUCAAACUGCGCAUGGAGUUUAGGGUUGUCUGUCUGGCAGAAGCCUAGGAAAGACAGUUACAUGAACACAGGCACCAAGUUUGGCUUUCAAGGUUCGCACCUUGAGCGCUGCUCAGCUGAGUUACUGCUAGUAACUCAGUUAGUUCGAAGCUCGAUCAGGAUAAAGCAACGAAAAACUGCAAAAAUCCGGCCUCGGGCAUCCCUGGACCUGUGUGGGUUGUCACUGAGCCACUUGACACGCACUUGAAAAACACAGACAAACAAAAUCAUCGCCCCGUCUUUGCUGCAAAAUAGCAAUCAGCAAGCGCGCAGCUGGGACUCUACCGAGGGGCACCAUGAACGCGCAGUCCUUGCGGCUUUGGACAGAGUUCAUGCAAGUCCUGCAGCGGGAGAGGGAAAUGAGGAAUUCCUUCCCACCCAGAGUGCGCAUUUCACUGUCAAUGCACACUUUCUCUCGCUUGCCUCACCAAGAGCUAAAGGAAAGGUUUACAACUUUCACUUCCAGGCUUCCCCCAGAGUGACACUAAAAUUUACAUGAUUAAAAAAAAAAAAGGAAAAAAACUGCGAGGGAAAGAUUUGUUUAAGCUGCUACUGUGUGACAGUCUGACAAAUUUGUUGCUGGGGAAGUUUAAAAGUGAGCACAACAGGAUUUGGACUUUCUACCAUGAAUUUUAAAAGUAGUGUUUGGUUCAGUGAGAGGCAGGCAACCAUUUCAAUGGAGGGCGGAGCGGUUUUAUUGACUUAUUCUUCUACAUCCUUACGUGACUGGCUAACUGUAAGUGGUCUCAGAAAACUGAAAGUUUUGUGUGCUUAUUCUAUGAAAUCAUCUCCAAAAUAUAUAAUAGUUCUCUUAAAUC